AGUGGCGCACGGGUGAGUAACACGUGGAUCAUCUACCUUUUAGUGGGGGAUGACCCUGGGAAACCGGGGCUAAUACCGCAUAAUCUCGCGAGAGGAAAGCAGCAAUGCGCUGAAAGAGGAGUCCGCGGCUGAUUAGCUAGAUGGUGAGGUAACGGCUCACCAUGGCGAAGAUCGGUAGCCGGCCUGAGAGGGCACACGGCCACACUGGCACUGAAACACGGGCCAGACUCCUACGGGAGGCAGCAGUGGGGAAUCUUGCACAAUGGAGGAAACUCUGAUGCAGCGACGCCGCGUGAGCGAUGAAGCCCUUCGGGGUGUAAAGCUCUUUCGACGGGAACGAUAAUGACGGUACCCGAAGAAGAAGCUGCGGCUAACUACGUGCCAGCAGCCGCGGUAAUACGUAGGCAGCAAGCGUUGUUCGGAAUUACUGGGCGUAAAGAGUACGUAGGCGGUGCUCUAAGUUUGGUGUGAAAUCUCCCGGCUCAACUGGGAGGGUGCGCCGAAAACUGGAGUGCUCGAGUGCGGGAGAGGCAAGCGGAAUUCCUGGUGUAGCGGUGAAAUGCGUAGAUAUCAGGAGGAACACCUGUGGUGUAGACAGCUUGCUGGACCGUGACUGACGCUGAGGUACGAAAGCGUGGGUAGCAAACAGGAUUAGAUACCCUGGUAGUCCACGCCCUAAACGAUGCAUACUUGGUGUGAGCGAUUCAUUUCGUUCGUGCCGGAGCUAACGCGUUAAGUAUGCCGCCUGGGGAGUACGGUCGCAAGGCUGAAACUCAAAGGAAUUGACGGGGGCCCGCACAAGCGGUGGAGCAUGUGGUUCAUUUCGA
rnacentral:rRNA from 1 species